AUCCCAGCUACUUCGGAGCCUGAGAUGGGAGAAUUGCUUGAACAUGGAGGUUACAAAAAAAAAAAAUCGUCAAAACUCAGGGUUUUGGCCACUGCCCACAUUCUACCCAUUCAUUCAUCCCCGUUCAAACCAGAGACUGUCUGAUGAAGCACACCCUCUUUGAGGGUGCAAACUGGAAACAGUCUCAGCUGCUGAUCCGACAGUCGCAUGCGUCAUUUAGAAGUCCAUGGGAAUGGACUGUGUUCUGCGGCACCUGCCCAUAAUCAAGCUCUGGACGGAGCCUGACUGUGUCUCAUGCAGAGCUUGUCGCUGCAGGCCAGGCUUGUGGUUCUUGGGGAAAGUCGAUCUGUUUACCUCGCGGUUGGGGACGCCCCUGACCAUUCCCGGCAGAACGAGUGCAUUGGACUUCUGACCCACUUCUGGAGGUUUCAAUCAUGUCUCACCACUGUCGCCACCGUCAGCGUCACGCCAGCUGACUCCAGCCACACCACCUGUCCCUUGAAACUCAUUCUUGCCAGCUUUUAGACUUUUGGGACCAUUUUCACUCUGACAUACUGAGACUUUAAUCACCAAAUCUACUGAAAAUGGGCCAACUGUCUGAUUUUACUUCCUUGUUUCCCCUCUUAAUCCAUCAAUGUUGUUUAGGUAAUUUGUUGACUGAAUGUGGCUGUCUCCAAAAGAAACAAUCUCUUCUUGACAGCCUCCAGGAUCACAUGAAAUCACUGGGGGCUAUGAAUCUAUUUCCAAAGUGUGAGAUUUCUCCCUCUGACCAUUGUGGGCACAAUAUGUCAUUCUUUCUCUGAACAGCAGCCCCAGCCCAGUCUACUUUGCCCACGAUGAGUGGCAGCCCAGCUAAAAGCGAGUUUAUGGGACUCGAAGUCAGUUACAGUUAAGGUUUAUACAAAAAUCUUUAUCCCCGUUUCACCUUGCUCUUAGGGACAAGUGUCUUGGAGACAGUAGGGGAUGAUGAGAAUAAAAGUGAAAUUCUAGGUACCGGAAUGGGACUGACUGACUCUGUGGAGGGAGAGGGAGAGUGACAACCUGAAACCUGGAGAGCAAUCAGCUUAGGUCCUACGAGCUCUGAAGAAUGGAGGGACAUUCAUUGCCUUUUGUCUCCCGUAAUCACCUCCAUGAGUCCCGGAAAGAGUCUCGCUGGAAAUCAUGUAGCACCAGGACUGUGUUAGUUACAGUUAAGCCAGAUGGCAGGGCAGGUGCUGGGGGUUCCUGUGCGUUUGGUCUCCACAUCACCCAGAAGAGUCCUUUGGGACUGUUCCCUCCUUCUGGGAUGUAGACGUGGGAUUCACACAGUGAGGAGUGUGCUCUUUCGGUGCCCACCUGUCCUCCUUGCUCUGUGAGCUGCGUUUCCUCCUGUUUUUGUCCCACAUAGAGACGAAUGUACGUUUAUUCCUAUUUGGAUAAAUCAGAGAAACAAAUCAAGUAAAGGAACUGUAGACCCAGCCCCCAGCAUAGCCUGAUUCUUUUCUGUUCCUUUUCCCAGUGAACUAAUUUCAUUAUGUCGGUGCAGAGAGAUUCCCUGAGAUGGGGUCUCUCAGAACAGAUGGCAACACCAUACAUCUUGAGAAGGUGGUUGGAGACGGCAGGAGUCCUAGCGAGAAUCAAAACUUGUGCCUGAUGUAUUACAGGUGUAUCUACAGGAGGUAGAUGGAUCCAGGAAAGAUCCUAGAGCCCUGGAAGAGACUAUUUAGAGCGGGCAGGAUCCCUGCAGGAGAGCAGAUAGCAGGACACAGGUUCAGCAGCCACUUUGGAAGUCAGACGCUCACAGCUAAGCCUCUGUGGUAGGGCUGAUCUGCAGAGCAAUGCAGAGCCUGGGAAAGCUCUGAUCACACGUGGAAGAUGAAACUCUGGGCUUCUAUUGGUCCAUUUUCCCACUGCUACAAAGAACUACCUGGGAUACAAAUAUAGAUAUUAAUUUUUGCUAUACUUUAUAAUAUACAAACACAUAUGGAUGAUUACACCCUAAUAUUUGUUGCGAUUCUACAGAAAUGCGUGACUCUCAGGAGACAUCCAAAAGACAGCAAAUAUCUCACAUGAAACUGAAUAGUAAUGUUCAUCCUCAAUGAAACACAGAGUUCACCAUUCUGAGUAUAUUGUUCAAGUUAUUUUCCUAUUUUCCUUCCCCAGAAUCUAACAUGUGUUAACACCAUGUGUCUAAAUCGUCCCUGUUGGGCAUCUGGAGCAAUCUGAGAAAGGGCAGGUCUUUGUUGUGACUCUCAGAGCAGCACCUACUGCUGGACACAGCGGGACACCCCAUCUCAAGCCCAGUCUCAUCCACCGACACGGUCCGUUAUCUCCUGUCCGGGGAAGAGGCGGGCCUGUCUCCGUCCUGGGAGGAGCUCUGGGCUUCUCCUUCAUCCAGAGAUGUGCCCCAGGGACCAGCCAGUGGGGCUGGGAGGAGCCCCCCUCAGCAGAGAAGACACAGGUGCCUGGGUGGCCGAGGCCUGGAAGGUGUGCACCAUGGUGCACGGAGGCCCCGGAGCUGGGUGAGCCCAGAAAGCUGCCCUGGGGUCCGCGGGGACUGUGCCUGCUGAAUCUGCACCUGAGCCACAUCUUCACAAAUGGCCUCAGACCUAGAGUGCAGGGAGAUCCCCGGGCUUUUCUGAAGUGGUGGCCGGUGGUCCCCUGGGGAGCAGGACCUGGGCUGCUUACUGCCCUCACCCAGUGAGGGCCCGCGGGGAGCUCUUAAGGCGGGAAUCAUGGGUCUGCCUGAUGUGACUGCUGUGCCCACAUCAGAGGGUUUUUCUUUCUUUUCCAAAGUCAAGCUGCACUAAUCCAGACCAGGGAUCCCACCCCUGGGCUGCGGACCGGUCCCUGUGGGUAGCCUGUUGGGAACUGGACCGCACAGCCAGAGGUGAGCAGUGGGUGAGAGCGCCUGACCACCUGAGCUCGCCUCCUGUGAGAUCAGCAGCGCCACUGCAUCCCAGAGGAGUGGGAACCCUACUGUGCACGGCGCAUGCGAGGCAUCUGGGUGGCAUCCUCUUUAUGAGAAUCGAUGAUCUCAGGCGGAACAGGUUAAUCCUGAAACCAUUCCCCUGUCUGUGAAAAAACUGCCCUCCACGAAACCAGUCCCUGGUGCCAAAAACGCUGGGAACCGCUGAUCUAGACAGUUCUCUGCUAAGGAAGCACGUGGUUGAGAAACAUCAGACUCGUUCCCACGGACCCUGCUCUGGAGUCUCAGCAGGCGCCUGGAGCGUCUUCAUCCGUGCAUCAUGAAGGACACUCACAUGGUGACGUGCCUUGGCUCAUGUGAGUAACACUGCAGCAAGCGUGGGGGUGCAGAUAUCUCUUGAAACACUCAUUUCCUUCAGAUACACACUCAGAGGUGGGAUUGCUGGAUUGUAUGGCCAUUUUGAUUUUUUAAAUUAAAAAGAAUUUUAAUUCUCA